UACGUAGGGGGCCAGCGUUGUCCGGAUUUAUUGGGCGUAAAGAGCGUGUAGGCGGUUUGGUAGGUCCGCUGUGAAAACUCGAGGCUCAACCUCGAGACGCCGGUGGAAACCAUCAGACUAGAGUCCGGAAGAGGAGAGUGGAAUUCCUGGUGUAGCGGUGAAAUGCGCAGAUAUCAGGAAGAACACCCGUGGCUAAGGCGGCUCUCUAGUACGGUACUGACGCUGAGACGCGAAAGCGUGGGGAGCGAACAGG
rnacentral:rRNA from 1 species